rnacentral:rRNA from 1 species
UAACACGUAGGGGCCAAGCGUUGUCCGGAUUUAUUGGGCGUAAAGAGCUCGUAGGCGGUUCGGUAAGUCGGGUGUGAAAACUCUGGGCUCAACUCAGAGACGCCACCCGAUACUGCUGUGACUUGAGUCCGGUAGGGGAGUGUGGAAUUCCCGGUGUAGCGGUGAAAUGCGCAGAUAUCGGGAGGAACACCAGUGGCGAAGGCGGCACUCUGGACCGGAACUGACGCUGAGGAGCGAAAGCGUGGGGAGCGAACAGGAUUAGAUACCCUGGUAGUCCACGCCGUAAACGUUGGGCACUAGGUGUGGGGUCCUACCAACGGAUUCCGUGCCGUAGCUAACGCAUUAAGUGCCCCGCCUGGGGAGUACGGCCGCAAGGCUA